rnacentral:lncRNA from 1 species
CUUUAAGUACACAUUAAUAUCAUCUACAAAGAGCAAAAGAGGAAACAGAAACAGAAGAAAAAAACUGAAGAAUGAAGAACAUCACUCGGAGGAAAGAUUGGAAGACAUACACUUGAGGAGAGAAUGGAAGACAGACACAGACUUGGAGUGAAGACACUUGGCUGUGGAACUAGACCCCUGGAGUAGCUUGUGCAGAAGACCUCAGACUGAUUUCCUUUUAGAUGGUCACCAUGUGUCCUGAUAAGAUGGUGACAACUUCUGUCUUCUCCUUGAGACUAGAAGACACAAUAAUCCAAAGCAAUGGCUCUGCCUGGUGCCCAGAAACACUGAAGGCUCUUGAGAUACUCCCACUUUCACCAAAUCUAUUCUUACACUCAGGUAAAAGGUGGGCAUUGAUUUCAACCAAGGAGAAGAGAGACUCAUAUCAGCAAGCUUUGGAACUCUGAUAACAUUCUUAACCUGGUCCAAAAUUCUUUGGAAUCCUUUGCAAAGGACAUCUGGGAUUAUCUAAAAGCCUGAAACCAUACAGAAUAAACAAAAGCAUUAUCAUUUUAAAACA